rnacentral:lncRNA from 1 species
UUUUAUGGUGUAUGUGUUCUUAUCCAUGUGAAUUGUCAAAACCAUAGUCACAAGACAAGGAUAAUGACAAAUCCAAACUCAUAUGGACUGAACUCAAUCUUAAUUUCUUGCCACCUGGCAACUCAAGGGCCUGCCAUUGCUUCCAAGUUGUUAUGCAACCAAUUGAGAAACUCUAAGAACUCAUAUGCAAAGCCAACUUUAACUGGAAUGGGCACAUAAAUACAAAUAUGUCAACACGAUAGGUUAUAAACCUCACGUCGUAUGCUAAUGUUAAACUACAUGUUUUUAUUCUUGAUUAGAUCUUGAAAUUCUUCUAGGAUCUUUAAGACUCCCACUAUCCUCUUGACAUAUAAGACUAUCUUGCCAAAUAUUCAAGAGAUUGUUUGGACUCUUUAUCAAGACAAACACUUCACACAAUUGGUCUUAGUUGGUCUUUGUUUUAUCCAAAACAUCACAACUUACCAAUUUCAAAUGUACUAGAGUAGGAUACUUUUACUCUUACAUUUGACAAGUGUUUUAAACCUUCUUUAAGACAUGUCACUCAAGNUACAAUCUUGGAGUAUGACUCUAAGAAUUGUUUUGGAACGAGGUAUGAAUCAUCUUCUUGAUUUGAUCACUUCAACAAUUCAUAGCUCCUCUUUUUAGCUAUCAGAAUGCACUUAGAGGAUGAAUUGUGAUAAGGUCUCUUAAUCAUUAAGAUGAUCAUAUAACAUGAUACUAAAGUACUCUCCCAUCUUGUCAGAUUCGAGAAACUUUUAUCCUUCUGCCUAAUUUGAUUCUUCUCAUUCGUUCUGCGAUACUUCGAAAAUUUUCCAAUGUAUCAGAAUUACACUUCAACUUGUAAGUGUAACCAUAUUUAGUAAACUUUAGUAAAUCAUGAUGAAUAGUUUUAUAGAUCUUUUGCGGUGGACUUAAUCAGUGCACAAGAAUGUGUACUCGAUCCCUUUGUCCUUCACUUGACUCACAUAUGCAUGUGAAUAAGGAACUAGUCUUAAUUUUCCAAAGCUGAAAGUUCUCAUUCAUCAUACUGUACAACUUGUAUGAUUCCAAGUUUCUAUCCAAUUGAAACUCGGGCAAUGAGAAUCUUUCCUUAUUUUGUAAAUUUAGACACUACCACAAAUGAAAUAAUCAAAUUCAUAUUUCCAUUAUUACUAGAAACAUACAAAUAUCAAGUUUUCAUAAAUGCCAUUGCAAGGAGAUAUAAAAUAAAGUAAAAAAAACUUUUAUUUAUUUAUAAAAUGCAGAAAAAGCUUUUUUCCUUACAAUGAAACUUUAAAGGAAAACUAUGCUAUUACAUGUUUCCUAGAAAUCUAUCAUAACUUCUAAGAGUAGCUCAAGAAUCCGAUCUUCAAUAAAGCGAUAGAAAUCCAUCUUCGCGGUCAGAUUCAACAUACUCUUUCUUUAAGUUUCCUUCACUUUUCCUUUGAUUCUUAAAACAUCAACAUGUGACCCAGUCACAUCAUGUAAUAAGAGUCUCUGAAAUAGAAACUUAAUCGAGUUAGAUAGUGGACUUUACCUAAAGCAGAGUCAAACUUAUUGACUUUACCAGCCUUAUGAUCUUUCAGGUAAAUUUGGCAGCUUCGCCACCAAUGCCCCUUCCUUUUCGCAAUAGAACCAUCUGGACCCUUUGCUACAUGGGACAAUCUCAGACUUAGCCUUUAUCUUUAACAUUUGGUUAACCGAGUUGACUAUGGCCAAUCCCUUUCUAUUGGGAAGAGAAAGCUUUUACUGUGUAUCCAAUGCAACCAUUGUCAAUGUCCAUUGAAGGUUUGGAAAGUUGAUCUUCUAAUCAAAUUCGCUUUUCUAGUUCUCAAAUCAUUUCUGAUUCAACAACACCAAACAAAUGGAUAAGAUCAUUAAGGAUCAUGUCAUAGUCUAUUUCAUAGUAGUCCCUGAGGAACUUACUAUGUGACUUAGAAAGUGAUUGAACAUCCAACUUUCUUAAGACUUUGACACCCAACUCUCCCGGCUUGUCAAUAUGUGACUUCAUAUCCAAGGUGUGAGCACAUAUAGACCUUGCUUUCCAUUAGGGCUUGAGUGACCUUGAACUUUUGGGUAAGGGAGAAUAAUUCGAGGAGGUGGAGAAAGUGAAGUUCCAAGAGAUUAGGGAAGAUCAUAGAUGUCUGAACUAGACAUCUUUUGUUUUGGGAGAUAUUCAAGAUAGUUGAUUUAAGUCCUUAAUAUAACACCCAAUAUGAAAUAUUAAGACUAGGACCCAACACAAUACUUUUAUAACUUGGAAGAGGGAUGCCGUAAUCCAAGCUAUAAAUAUUUGAAGGUAGGCGAAUGACGAUUCACCAAUUUCCACCUUGAAAACGAAAUAAUUUAAUUAGGUUUUACUUGCAUUUGAAACUCCUAAAUCUUUUGAGAUUCAUUGAACUGUUCAAUGGCAUGUUUCAAUCUUGAGUGUGCCCUUCAGGUUUUGUGAUUGGGAUGUUGAGGAUUACAAAAAAAGGUGUGAAGUAACCAUGCAAAUCACUUGGUACCCUUAAUAUUUACCCCUUAAUCGAUGUGUCGGUUAACCACACGCGCUCCACCGUUACUAUGAUGAAUAUUAAGUUACCCUUUUCCUACCUUGUUAAAUCAAGCUAGUGUGCCGGUUAACCACACACGCUCCACUAACUGACUUAAACAAAGUGCAUAGUGUAAUUUCAUGGAUUAGCACAUUAUUCACAUUUUCCUAAAGUAACUAAGAUUGGGGAUUUAUAAAAGGUUUAGUUACUUUAUAUUUAUCAUUAAUACUUUUAAUGAAGGUUGAAUUAUAGUCCUUGUCCUACCCGUUUGGCUAACGAUGCUCCACCAGUCAAGGAAGCGGUGGGUGAGAGUGGACACCCAUUAAAAUUCCAUUUUAUAGGCAGUAACCUUAUACCUCCCUUAUAGACCAGAUUCGUGAAUGAGGCCUAGUAAUGGUAAGAAGACUUGAUUUUAUACAUAUAUAUAUAAAUAUUAUGAACUUAUAAUACUAUGAAGUAUAAGGGUUGAAUUUUAACUUUUAAAAUUCUAAGGGCUUAACUUGGAAUUAAAGUAUUCAUAAGUGAAAACUUUACAAAUUCCAAAACUUGAGGGCAAGUUUUGAAACUAUUAAAAACUAUUCAAUUCCAUAACUUAUGUGUUUAAAGUAGUUUUAAUCCAAAAACUCUUAAAGUUCCAUACCUUGAGGACAAGUUAUGGAAGACCUUAAACUAUUAAAAGAAUAUGACUUUUCUUUAUUCAUAACCUAUGGAAGUAUUUGUGAGUUUUAUGAAUCUUAAAUGUGACAUUUCAUAUAACUUGAGGACAAGUUACAAAAAAACAUUUUAGAAUCAACUCUUAGAUUAAUUUGGAUUGAAAACAACAAUUUCACAUAACUUUUCUAUUACUCUAAACAACUCAUAAGAACAAGAUAAUUCAAACCAAAGUUUUUCAUGUAAUUAGCCUAACCCUUAAACUAAUACAAAACAUGAAUCUAUUGAAAAUUAUCCUUGAAAUUGGAUUAGCAUGGACAUUACCAUAUCAAAAACAGGUUUACAAGUUCAAAAUUAGCUUAGGGUAAUGUUCCUAGUCCAAUUCCAGACAAAAACUUCAAACAACAAGCUGUCAGCACCCAAAACUCGUCGAGUUCCUUGAGGAACUCGUCAAGUUCAUGCCCAAAAUAAUGAACUCGUCGCGUUUUUUGCAUAAAAUCGUCGAGUUUUAUGGUCUGGACAGUUUCCGCUUUGAAAAAACAAAUUUGCAUCAAGUAUAAAUGAAAAUAAGCCUUGGCUCUGAUACCACUGUUGGGUUUUGAGCAUUCUAACACUCCUAUGGUGUACAUGCAACCCUAAAUACCUUGGAUCUAUGUUUUCUCUAUUAUACAUGCAAAUAUGAAUAUUCCAAGGUAUGACCCUAAACUAGCAUACAAUCUUUUGAUACUUGGGUAUUAAAAUGGAUAGAAUACAUACCUUGUUGAUGUAGCUUGACUCCAUGAAGCUUGAGAGCCUAGUGCCCCAAAUUUGAGACCUCAAAUGGUUCACACGACAUCACCAACACAUGGAAUUACCAUGAGGAGAAGACACUCCAUGCUCAAAUUGGCUAGCCCUCACAUACAUAUCAUUAGUGCCGAUUUUUUGAGCCAAAGGGGUCCUUAUAUAGUGUGCACAUUAGGGUUACACCAUGUAACCCAUGACUUUACCCAUUCCUUAUGCUCCAUGGGUUUUAACCUCCAUGGAGUAUCCAUGGGUCACUCCAUGGGUUAAACCCAACAUAAGGAAUCUUGGAUCAUAAGCCCACAUAUAUAAGAAUGAAUGAUUUACACAAUCAAUCCCCAAAUAUUUAAUUAGUCUCUUUUAAUCACCAAAUUAAGUCAAUAUUAAUUUUUGAUCAAAUUAAAUAACAUGAUUUCUUAUUAAUAUAUUAGAACUCAUAAUAUAUUAAUAUGUCACAGAUGUCCUCUUCUCACAAACGGUUUAUCGAAAUGUUCCGAUGCCAUGCAACCCAGAUGGACCAUGCCAAGUCGGGUCAAGUACAUACCAAUUAUAGUUAUGGACAUAGACACUAAUCCAACAGGAACAACUACGGAGGAAUAUCAUCAGACCUUGGUAUAUUGAUAGUGGUUGUUCUAGGCACAUGCCAGGAGACAUAUCUCAACUGGAAGACAUUAAAAAUAUUAAUGGUGGUUAUUUUUUCUUUGCGUGAGGAGGAAAGGGAAAGAUCACUCAAAUGGGGACUGUUACAAAUGGUGUAUUGAAUUUUGAAAACAUCAACUUCAUUCCUAAAUUGAAACAUAGUUUGUUGAGUGUCUUUCAGAUCUGCGAUAGAGACUUCUCAGCUCAUUUCACCAAGAAGGAGUACUUAAUUAUGAAGCCUGGUAUCAUCAUACUAGAAGAAUGGAUCUUGGUAAGAUCAGAUCGUCAAAACAACGCCUAUAUCAUCGACAUGAAUCACAAUAUCCUAGAGAAUGUUAGUUGCCUAUUCUCAAAGACUUCUGAACAUAAUGCUAUACUCUGGCAUCAUCGCCUAGGUCACACAAAUGAAAAGAAUCUAAAUCGUCUUGCCAAAAAUGAUCUUGUUCGAGGGUUGCCUAUCAAGGAUUUUGUCACCUUCAAGAAGUGUGUGGCCUGUACACAGGGAAAGCAUCAUCAAAAACCACACAAGCUCAAAUUAGUCAACUCAAUUGACACACUUCUUUAAUUGCUUUACAUGUAUCUCUUUGGACCAGUCAAUGUUCUUAGCAUCAACAAAAGCUCUUAUUGUCUGGUUAUAAUAGAUGAUUACUCACAUUUUACUUGGGUUUUCUUUCUGAAGAAUAAGAGUGAGACUGCAGAGCUGAUCAAGAGGUUCAUCGUCCUGAUUGAGAACCAUACCAAUGAGAAGGUAAAAGGCAUCCGGUGUGACAUUGGGACAAAAUUCAAGAAUGCUAUUCUGGACCAUUUAUGUGUUGUAAAGGGGUGCAGAUUCAAUACAGUGCUACUCGCACACCACAACAAAAUGGUGUUGAUGAGAGAAGGAAUAUAACCCUAAUCGACACUACUAAACAAUGCUUUGUGACUCAAAAUUACCGGUGUUCUUUUGAGAUGAGGCUAUUAAUAUGACAUGUUAUGUUUAGAACCGGAUCCUAAUCAACAAACACCACAUGAAGACUCCAUAUGCAAUCCUCUACGUUCACAAACCAACUGUUGCUCAUUUCCUCACUUUUGGAUGCCCAUGCACUAUUCUUCAUCUCGAAGUCACUCCAAAGUUCAAUUCAAAGGCUGAAGACUGCUAUUUCCUCGGGUAUGCUAGACACACUACUUAUCGGGUCUACAAUAAAGCUACCAAUCAAAUCAUGGAGUCCUUUGAUGUCCGCUGGCUACAAGAAAAUGAGACAGAUGCUCGAGUUGUCCCUAAUUGGUUAUUUUAUUACGUUGAAUUGUUUAAACCAUUUUAUGUGUUUUAUGAUCGUGUUUCAGGCACCCAUCCAAAAUCGUGUGGAUCGAGUUUGGACGAUGAAGAAGAAGUGAUCAUUGUUGAACCUAUCAUGCCAUUGAUACUACAAGAUGAGAAUACAAGCUUGAAUGAUGGCACUCUGGAUUCCUUACCAGUAGAUAAUGACAUACCUGCUGAAUCUCUGAAAAUGGAUGACAAUUCACUGGUUUUAGAAGAAAAUGUUGCCUCUAUAGAAAAUGUAAUCUCUGACUCUGCAGAAACUUUUGAUUUUACUUUUAUGGAUUUUCUCUUUCCUGAAAUAAUUCCUGAUCAGUAUGUGGCGAGUACUUCAUACGACUUUCGAUCAUCAGAUAGAAGUGAUUCAGUCAUAGACAGUGUAGAGAACAUCACGAAUCUUCUACUUCCUUCACAAGCGGUGGAUCAUGAGAUUUCUUCAAAGGUUAAGUGUGACCAUCCCACCUAAAAUGUUAUAGUUUCCCUGGCGGAUGGAGUCAAAACCAGAAGCCAGAAUGGAUAUGUUCACGAAUGUCUAUAUUCGUGCUUCAUAUCUCAAAUUGAGCCAAAGAACAUUGAGAUGGCUCUUAAUGAACCAAGUUAGGUGGAUGCCAUGCAUGAAGAGCAGAAUCAAAUUUGAGAGGUUGAAUGUUUGGCAACUAGUAGAACUUCCUAAAGCAAAGAAGUCUCUUGACACAAGAUGGGUUUUUCGCAACAAGCAAGAUGAUAGCGGGAUUAUUGUGUGAAACAAGGCAUGUUUGGUUGUUCGUGGUUUCAGGCAAAUAGAAGGUCUUGAUUACACAAAGGUAUAUGCUCCUGCGGCUCGACUGGAAGCAAUUCAUAUGUAACACCGAAAAUUUUCAAACUAAAAUUUCAUUUAAAUUCGCUUUGAUCUUAAAACACUUUUUGUAAAACUCUCAUUUUUACUUAAAUUACAAAAAGACAUAACUCUUUCUAUGGUGUGUACAAUCAAGCCGGUGCCGUCCCGUGAUCCUGAGAAAACCUGAAACACAAAGCACAAAACACUAUAAGCACGAAGCUUAGUGAGUUCCCCAAAAUACCGCACAUAACACAUACUAGCCACUCGAGGCUAUAACUCUUUGGGCCCUUGGGCCCUAACUCUGUGGACCCUCUGGUCCUAGCUCUGUGAACCUUCCGGUUCUAACUCUGAUAUACACACGACAUAAAUCACAUAGAUAUAAUGCAGUGCAAUACAACACAUAAGUAGCAUAUAAUAACUCUAUCACAUAACACUAAUUACCACUCAAGGUAAAGUAUAGUGAGAACACUCACCUCAGAUGUCUCGGUAAAUCCUUGACUCGGUAGCAGUAUAGUCUAGCCUCCGCCUAACCACAUAAAGUAAAAUACGCUCAUAAAUAUAACUCUCGAGACUAGACCCAACCCUCUCUCAGUACCCUCAGAUGGGCAAAAGACCAUUUUACCCUUCUCUUGACUCAAAGACCCCAUUGUUGACCAAUCCCUAAAAGUGAACAAAGUCAACGGUCAAACUUUGACCUGACUCGUCGAGUGCAUUUGGGCAACUCGGCGAGUCUACACGUGUCCACUAUCUCUCUAGCCUCUCAUAACACGUCGAGCCUUCCCCCUGCUCGACGGGUUACACCUGGAAUGAAUCGCGGGGCCACCCUGACUCAAUUCUUCGAGUUCAAUUAUGGACUCGGCGAGUUCCACCUGUAAUCCUCUACCCCCUUCUGACUCACUGAGUCAUUCCCCCAACUCGACAAGUUACUCACUGAGUGACUUACGGGAAACCCUAGCCCUACUCGCUGAGUCUGUUCUUGGGACUCGGCGAGUUCAUGCCAUGCUCGAGCUCAAAUGAGCUCCUGAGGUCAGAUCCGUUCCUCUAAGUCAUAGAUCUGGCCUCCUAAAGCAAUAAAAUCACGUAAAGUUUGGAUCUUGAUGCCCAUGCAAGGACCCCCAUGGCUCUAUUUGAAGAAAUGGCCUCAAUAUGCCAUCCAAAACUCAUAUCUCUCCAAGACACUGAAUAAAGAUCAAGGAUUUAAGGUCUCUGGACCUCCUUGGAUCCAUUUUCGAAGCCUCAACACAAGAAGGGACCAAAUGCACUAACAAUCAUACUCUAAAUGGGCUAGAUACCCUAACUCUCAAGGAUUAACACCCCAAACUGAAGAAGGAUUGAAUAUGUACCUCAAGUUGAAGUCCUUAAGCUCUGAAAUCCACAUAUUAGCUCCCUCUUUAGCUUCCUCUUGCCUUGGUCACCUUAUUCUUGCAAAAUCACCCACACAAGGAUCAAAAAUGGCUUCCUUUCUCUCUCAAAACACUCACACACUCUGGGGUCUCUCUCUAUCAACUGGUGGCAGCGAAUGAAGGCCAUAAGGGCCUUUAAAUAGGUCUCAAACCCCGGAAAUUAGGGUUUCAUUAAACAGCACGGACUCGCCGAGUCCGAUCAUUAACCCGGAUGAAAAUUUGCGACUCUACUCGGCGAGUCUAAGCAUCAACUGGCCGAGUCUCUCUCAAAAUCUCCAAAAAUAAUAAUUAAAUAACGUACCUAAAAAUCCGGAUGUUACAAUUCUCCCUCACUUGAAUUAGAUUUCGCCCUCGAAAUCAUCCCUUAACCACACAUAGGUCUAAUCAUUUACCCGAAAGGCACUACCGAAGUGAUCUUCGUACUGCACUGAUUUUCCCUCUAUGGACAUCCAAAACCACAUAGAACCUCCAAAACCAGAGUUUAAACCAACUCUUUUGCCGCUAAAAUACCCCUUCCCAAUAACCGGAGACUCUAGUGGCCUGAUCUGCCGCCAGACCGCCUACUUGAACGAUCACCAUGAUUUUUGCUCCUCGAAUAUAAACCCAGUUUCCUCACUGGCUCACUGAUUCCCAUAAGACCACAACCAACAACCGGCCAUUUUUCCGUCAAACUGAUCAUGCUAAAACAUAUGAAUCACGCCCCACGAAUAAAAGGGUUCACACUCCACCAGGGCACAUCUACUAGACUGCUAUCAGAAAUCCUCCGGACAAAGAAUCCCCCAACACUCUGUCCUUAGACACAAAAGCAUAACCAUGCUCGCUCAGAAGUGUCCUAAAACAUCCCAUUCAUAAACCUCAGCUCCAAAUUCCAUAUCUCUUUAACACCACACGAGGUCUGACGGCCGUCUAUCCGCAUAACACUUCUGGCGGCUCUAGGCCGUCAGCAACUUCUGCCUGACCUGCUGAAUUUGCUCGGUCGUCUGGAGCACCAUCUCUGUACUACCCAUCACAUGUUGCCCUACCUCUCCCCAGAAAAUGGGAGUCUGACACCUCCUCCCAUACAACAGCUCAAAGGGUGGCAUACCAAUGCUCGAAUGAUGGUUGUUGUUAUAGGAAAACUCAGCCAAGGGUAAGUAUGUGUCCGAACUCACUCCGAAAUCCAAUACACAUGCCCGACGCAUGCCUUUGAGCGUCUGAAUCGUCCGCUCGCUCUGCCCGUCAAUUUGUGGGUGGUAAGCGGUAUUAAAAUGCAACCUUGUGCCCAACUCCUCAGGGAAUUUCUUCCAGUAUCUGGAAAUGAAACGUACAUCUCGAUCUGAGACAGUUGAGAUCGGUACUCUGUGCCAAGAUACCACCUCCCUCACAUACAACUCUGCCAGGCUCUCCACAAAAGAGCUUCCCCCUGACUUCCUCUUCGCAUCAACUAACUCGGCCCUGUGACACGCAAGUCACAAAAUUCUCAAAUGAAAACUACAAUCCAACCGAAAAUCGACUUAGUCCUGACAGAGACGGAGACCCCAGUCUCGCCCCUGGUUCAACCACCAGGCUCCAAAAACUCAAUACUAGGGCUACUUAAGCCUAAAACUCUUCUGCAUCAUACACUGAUCGAAGAACACUCCACCAUCACAAUCUCUUGCCGUCUAGGGAGUAAUAUGGCUCCCCGCAACAUCACGAUAACCUCUCGAUGCCUAGUGAGUACUACAGCUCCCCGUAGUACCAGAACACUCUCUGACCAAUGAGUACUACGAAUCCCCGCAGUAUCACAACACCCUCUGACUAGUGAAUACUACGGCUCCCCGUAGUAUCACAACACCCUCUGACUAGUGAAUACUAUGGCUUCCCGUAGUAUCACAACUCCCUCUCUCCAGUGAGUACUACGACUCCCCGUAGCAUCCCAACACCACACUACUUCCAAUAACUCAUGCUCCGCAGACUAUCAUAGAUAGCUACACACACUUGUCCCACAUAUGCAUCACAGACUCUGGCGGCAACCGUUAUAACAAAAUACCUACCUCUGUGGAGGUCCACUUCCUUAAUUAAUCCCUCUUGAUGUUAAUACCCGAAGGGCUCCCACUGGAACCGUAGAUACUAUUGGAAUAGUGUCUAAGGCUGCAACUACAUUAGGCAAGUAUUUGACCCGGUUAUGCAUGGUCCUUUUGGGUUGCCUUCACCAUAGCAACUUGACAGGAUGAUUUAUUAUGAGAGAAGAAAUAUUAUUAAUAUAUUAUGAGAAUAAUAUAAGGAAUAAUAAUAUUAUUAUUUGAUUAAUAUAAGUCAUAAAUUAAUUAGGAAUUAAUUUGGUGACUUAAAGAGAUUAAUUGAAUAAAGGGGCAUAAAUUGUCAAUUGUAUGAUAGUUGUACUUUGGGCUGUAAAUCCCUUAUGGAUAAAGAGGGACGGUUUUGAGGCCUUUGGAUAGACCUUGAAAUCGUCCAAGUACAAGAAGAUCAAUUAGGGCAUUGGAUUGCUUAGGGCCUAAGUUAUCCAAUUAGGGUUUAAGGGUGAACCCCUAGGAGCCUUACAAGUAUAAAUAGACCCUAAGGGUUAUGGAAAUCGGCACUUGUGCUUUAGAAAGAAACCCUGGCCGAUUUUGAUCCCCUCUCCUCUCUCUCAAAUCAUCCUCUUGCUAGUUGGUGUUUGUAAGCCAUUAGAGGAGUGACAAUUGUGACUCUAAAGCUCCAAGGACAAGAAGAUCAAGCAAGUGAUUCAAGGUAAACUUCUAAUUCUGAUUUCUUAUUGUUAUUAUACUCUAUUAGCCAUUAGAAGUCUUGGAUUCAAUGUAUGUUCAAUUAGAGAAACCUAGAUCCAAGCAUUAGGGUUGCAUGUGCACAUAGGAAUGUUCAUAUGGUGAAAACCCAUCAGUGGUAUCAGAGCCUAGAUUGGUUUCUAUUGAAUUGAUACAUUGGUUGCUUGUUUGAUGCUUGCUUAAUUCGAAUUUUAUGUUUCUGUCUGAUGGACUCGGCGAGUCCCAUAGUGGACUCGGCGAGUAGGCUCGACUCGGCGAGUCCAUUGGGGUACUCGGUGAGUCCAAGCGUCAAAAAGAGGUAACUUUAGGAUUUCUUGCUGUUUAUCUUUGAGAUACUUGCCUUCAUCAUAUUAGAUCAAUAUAAAUCCGAUUUUAUGAUAUAUAUGAGUAUAUUCUUGACCUAAUAGAAGAUAUUUAUCAAUUGAUAAAAUAUUUAUUUCCUUAUGUGAUUGAUUAAUUAUCUUAAUUAAAUUGGUAAAUUGUUUUGCAAGAAAUUAUUAAAUAAAUCAAAUAUGGAUAAUUAUAUGAUUAAAUGUUAAUUUAGAUUAUUUGUUAUUUGAUCCCCUAUGUUUUGAAAAGUUUAAAACUUGCCCUCAAGUUUUGAAAUUUAUGUUUUGUGAUUAAAAGUUUAAUUUAGACAAUUUAAAUUUCAAACCCUAGAAUUUUACAAGUUUAAAAUUCAACCCUAUACUAAUAUAAUAUUACAAGAUUAAUAUAUAUAUAUAUAUAUAAUUAAAAAUAAUGCUAGUCUUACCGUUAGUAGGCCUCAUUCACGAAGCCGGUCUAUAAGGUGGGUAUAAGGUUGCGGCCUAUAAAAUGGCGCUUAAUGGGUGUACACUCACACCCACCGCUUGCUUGAUCGGUGGAGGGUCGUUAGCCGAACGGGUAGGAUAGGGCAACCUCAUCCUCUCAUUAAAAGUAUAAUAUGAAAUACAAAGUAACUACAUGUUUUUCAAAAAUUCCCCAUCCUAGUUACUUUAGGAAAAGUGAAUUGAUGCAAUCCCAUGAAAUUACACUUUGCACCCUUGCUAAGAAGUUAGUGGAGCGUGUGUGGUUUACCGGCACACUAAUUGGUUCUAAGCAAAGGUGGCAAAGGGUGAUUCAUUGUUUAUCAUAGUUCGAUGGAGCGUGUGUGGUUUACCGGCACAUCGAAUAGGUGAUCGUUACAAUGAAGGCACCAUGUGAAUUUGCAUGGUAAUUCACACCCGCUUUGUGAUCCUCGGUAUCCCAGUCACAAACAAGAGGGGCAUAUCGAGAUUUAAACAUGCCAUUGAAUAGUUUCAAUGAAUCUCAUCCGAACCUAGGAAUUCUCAAUACAUUUAGGACUUAAAGUUAUGUUUUUAUGGUGGAGAAUUAGUGAAUCGUCAUUCACUUACCUUCAUAUUAUUUGCAUGUUAGAUUACGGCAUCCCUUUUCUAAUAUGUAAAUAUUGUUGUUGGAUCCUAGCCCUAAUUUUUCUUAUUGGGUGAUAAUUAGGGAUUCAUAUUCUAAUCUAUCUUUGUCCUUUCUAUUUGUAGAUGUCGAACGCAAACAACGCUGCUGCUAGUUCUUUCACAUUGAUGAGCCUUUGUCAAAAGGUCACUUUCGAUGGGACGAACUUUAGCGAAUGGAUAAGAUACAUUCGCACCAUUGCUCGCUAUGAGGAUAAGGAGUAUGUCCUCGAUGAGAAGCUCGAGAAAAUCAACCCUGAAAUCGCUACUCCGGCUGAAAUGACCGCUUUUGAAACUCAUGAGCGCGAUGCAACGAAGGUACAUUGCAUCAUGAUAGCCACCAUGAACUCCGAAUUCCAAAAGUCCUAUGAGGACAUGUACCCGUACGAGAUGCAUCAAGACUUAUUGGAGAGAUACCACCAAAACGCGAGACAAGAGCGUUAUGAGAUUUUCACUAACAUGAUUUCCGCUAAGAUGGGUCAUGGAGAGUCUCUUACCGUGCACCUGCAAAAGAUGCAAAGGUAUGUCGACCGCCUUCGCAAGUUAAAUGUUGACUUUGGGGAAGACUUGGCGAUCGACAUGGUGCUUCACUCUUUGCCUCCGAGCUACAAUCAAUUUAGGAUGACCUACCACAUGAACAAAGAGGAGGUCACCCUAAGCAAACUCCAAGGUCUCUUGAGGGUCGCUGAGAGCAACUUCAAAGACAAGUCUGUUGCACCAACUCCCAAUCCGCCCGCUGCUCCUGUCUUGGCUAUUGGACAAGGAAAGGGAAAGAAGAGGAAGGCUUCGUCUAAGAACUAUCGCAAGGUUAAAGCCCGAGAUGGUGCCUCUUCUAGUGGGACCAAAGUUGAUCCUGCUAAGCCCUGCCCUAACCCUAAGGAGGCAGAGUGCCACCACUGCCACAAGAUAGGACAUUGGAAGAGAAGCUGCCCAGAGUACCUGCAAGCCAUCAAGGAAGGAAAGAUCAAGCCAUCUUUCGCAGGUAUAUACACAAUUAAAUCUAACGAUUCUAAUCAUGCUAUUUCUUGGGUUCUUGAUACCGGUUGUGGUUACCACAUUUGUUCUAAUGUGCAGGGACUAAGAAGAAGUAGGGAUGUGGAGCAAGGAAGGAUCAAUCUAAUCAUGGGGAACAGAAGAUCGUCGCCUGUGACCAAGAUUGGAGUGUAUUCUUUAGUGCUUAGGAAUAGUUUAGUUUUAGAUUUGAACAAUUGUUGCUAUUCGCCAGAAAUGGCUAGAAACAUCAUUUCAUUUCAUGGUUUGUAUAGACAAGGUUUUAGAUUUUCUUUUAAUAAUGAGAAUGGUUCUAUUUUGGCUUAUCUAAAUGGUGUCUUUUACUUUGAAGCUAUACCAUGUAAUGGAAUUUAUGAAACUGUUAUGAUUGUUGAUAACUUAGGAAAUGAUGUUUUGAAUAUAGAUUCUUCCACUAGUAUGGAUAAAGCAUCCUUGUGGCAUUGUCGUCUUGGACAUGUCAACAAGAAACGCAUAGCCCAACUCCAAAAGGAUGGAGUGUUGGAGUCAUUCGACCUUAGGGAAGAUGACACAUGCGAGUCUUGUUUACUUGGAAAGAUGACUAAGUCACCCUUCACGAGUACAUGUGAAAGGGGUGAGGGUCUAUUGGACCUAAUACAUACCGAUGUAUGUGGACCGUUUAGAUCAACCACGAAGGAUGGGAACCGCUUCUACGUGACUUUUACCGAUGACUAUAGUAGAUAUGGGUAUAUCUACUUAAUCAAGCAAAAGUCAGAAACCUUUGAAAAGUUCAAAGAGUUCAAGAAUGAAGUGGAGAAUCAAUUGGGCAGGAAAAUCAAGAUGCUUCGAUCCGAUCGAGGAGGAGAGUACCUAAGUCUUGAAUUCCACGAUUAUCUCAAGGAGUGUGGAAUAGUUUCACAAUUGACGCCUCCUAGGACACCGCAGUUGAAUGGUGUGGCAGAAAGGCGUAAUCGAACCUUAUUGGAUAUGGUUCGCUCUAUGAUGAGUCGUGCUUCACUACCUAUCUCUUUUUGGGGGUAUGCCUUAGAGACUGCCGCCCAUAUCCUUAACCGAGUCCCUACUAAGAAGGUUGCCAAAACACCUCACGAGAUGUGGACAGGGAAAGCUCCCUCGUUGGCACAUAUCAAGGUUUGGGGUUGCGAGGCUUUCGUAAGACGAGAUACUCACGACAAGCUUGAACCUCGAAGUGAGCGAUGUAUUUUCAUCGGCUACCCGCAGACAUCCUUUGGAUAUCUCUUCUAUAGACCGAAGGACAAUGUUGUCUUCGUUGCGAGGAGAGGAGUUUUCCGAGAGCGAGAACUCAUAAGCCAAGGAGACAGUGGGAGGCAAAUCGAACUUGAAGAGAUUCAAGAGUCGAUAGAUGAAGGAACCUCUACCGCUGGCACUCAACCCGAGGAGGAAACUCUGGUUGAACCAAUUGACGAGUCCUUACCUCUUAGACGUUCCGAAAGAGUUAGAGUUCAACCCCAGUUUUAUGGUUUUCAUAUUACUACCGAAGGGGACACGUAUAUUAGUGAUGGUACACUAAUAAAUCUAGAUGAAACCAAUAGCUAUAAGGAAGCCAUGGCAGGCCCGGAGUCUGCGAAAUGGAAAGAGGCAAUGGACAGCGAGAUCCAGUCUAUGUAUUACAACCAAGUUUGGAAUUUGGUUGAUAAUGUGCCCGGACGUAAGACCGUUGGGUGCAAACAGAUCUUCAAGAAGAAGACCGACGUGGAUGGAAACGUACACACAUACAAGGCGCGAUUGGUUGCGAAGGGCUUUACUCAAACUCCCGGAGUUGACUAUGAUGAGACCUUCUCACCAGUUGCGAAGAUAAAGUGUAUUAGAGUGAUGCUAGCUAUUGCCGCNGCUACACAAAUUGAUUCCGUAGAAUUGCCAGCAUGAUAUCUAAACAGAGGAUUGUACGAUCCCUUAUCUGAAGGUCUAUUUUUUAUCAGAGUUGAUAGAAGCGUAUAAGAGCUACGAUUGCUAAUCAGAUCCUGAAGUCAUAUAUGCGAUAUUGUUACUAGACUUAUCCAAGUGGGAGACUGUUGGAUUAGUGUCUAAGUCCGUAACUAUCUUUGGUAUGUACUUGACCUGGUUGUGCAUAGUCCUUUUGGGUUGCCUUCACAGUAGCAACUUGACAAGGUAAUUUGAGGAGAGAGAGAUAGGAUAUUAUGGUCUAUUAAUAUAUUAUAAGAAUAGUANCUUCGCUAUGAAGGACCUCGGAGAGGCUUCCUAUAUUUUGGGAAUAAUGAUAAUGAGAGAAAGAAGUAAGAGACUAAUAGGACUUAAAGUCCGAGUAUCGAAGCUGAAACGUUUUAGUAUGGAAAACUCGAAGAAAGGAGAAUUACCGAUACAAAGUAAUACCAAGCUUAGUAAGACUCAAAGUCCGAGUAUCGAAGCUGAAAUAGCAGAAAUGAGCCAAGUUCCAUAUGCUUCCGCAGUUGGCUCAAUCAUGUAUGCUAUGAAUUGUACUCGCCCAGAUGUAGCCUUUGCUUUGAGCAUGGUUAGUAGAUAUCAAGGGAACCCUGGCAGAGCCCAUUGGAUUGCGGUCAAGAAUAUCCUUUAGUACCUUCGGAGGACGAAGGAAUGGUUCUUAGUCCUUGGAGGGAGUGAUGACCUGAAGGUGCGAGGGUAUAGUGACGCCAGCUUUCAGACCGACAGGGACAACUACCGUUCGCAGUCGGGCUGGGUCUUUACCCUGAAUGGAGGAGCAGUAACUUGGAAAAGUCCCAAGCAGGAAACCGUAGCAGAUUCAACGUGUGAAUCAGAGUACAUUGCGGCGAGCGAAGCGUCGAAGGAGGCAAUAUGGUUGAAGAACUUCAUCGGUGAUCUUGGAGUUGUACCUGCCAUAAAGGAGCCCAUGGAGAUUUUCUGUGAUAAUGAAGGAGCGGUUGCCUUGACCAAGGAACCGAGGGAUCAUGGUAGAUCUCGACAUAUCGACAGAAAAUAUCACUUCAUUAGACAUCGUGUAGAAGAAGGACAACUCGUAGUGAAGAGGAUAUCAUCAGAAGAUAACCCAGCAGAUCCGCUUACGAAGGGACUGAGUAGGGUUAAGCACUUGCAGCAUGCUAGGAGUAUUGGGCUGAAGGAUGAUAUUAGUAUAGAUUAGAUAGUAUUAGAAACGUGUAAUAGAUAAAUGUAAUUAACAUUUGAUGAUUAAAUAAAAGAGUAUUAUUUAUGAGUAAUGUUACUGUCUUAUGUUAAUUGUUUAACUAUUGUUUCACUUUGCAUGUUUUGACUUCCAGAAUAAUUGAGUUUAUUAAGAAUAAUCGAAUUAUUCAAAUUGUCCACAAUCGUUCAUAUGUUGGAAGUAGGUAUGAAUGAAGAUUGUCAUGAAUUGGUGUGUAGAUUGUCUAAAUGGUAUUAGACAUAGCAAAAGUUUGCUGCAACGUUCAUGAGUGCUUAUGAACUAGUUUUGAGCAUUGGAACAAACCCGCGCUUGCUGGAAUCACCUUAUGGAAUGUGAUAAAAAGGGUGAUCGCAAGACGAUAAUAUCAUAUGGUCUUAAAACCUAGAUAUAUGGUUUGUUAUUUGUUAAUUGGUUGUACAUUGAUAAUGCGAAACCGCAUCAGUAAAUUGAUGUUAUAAAACGCAUUGUUGUGUAUAGUUGAUUAAUGAAUAAGUAAAUGCAUAUAAGUCGAAGUUUAUCUGUUACUUUUAUCCUAAGAGGGUAAAAGCGAUAUCUCGGCCGCUCGAUGAUUUGAUUUGACUUAUGUGUCGGGCCCGGUCAGAACUGAAUUGAUGUGUUCGAUUAAGUUCUAUGUCAAAUAAAUCUGAGAUCGAGAAACCAAAUGCUAGACAAAUUGGUUCCAUAGAAUUGUCAGCAUGAUAUCUAAACAGAGGACUGUACGAUCCCUUAUCUGAAGGACAAGAUUGAUUAGAUCAGAGUUUGACAACGUCUUUGAGAGCUACGAUUGCUAAUCGGAUUAUACUUGUAUAUAGUUACUAGACUUAUCCAAGUGGGAGACUGUUGGAAUAGUGUCUAAGGCUGCAACUAUAUUAGGCAAGUAUUUGACCCGGUUGUGCAUGGUCCUUUUGGGUUGCCUUCACCAUAGCAACUUGACAGGAUGAUUUAUUAUGAGAGAAGAAAUAUUAUUAAUAUAUUAUGAGAAUAAUAUAAGGAAUAAUAAUAUUAUUAUUUGAUUAAUAUAAGUCAUAAAUUAAUUAGGAAUUAAUUUGGUGACUUAAAGAGAUUAAUUGAAUAAAGGGGCAUAAACUGUCAAUUCUAUGAUAGUUGUACUUUGGGCUAUAAAUCCCUUAUGGAUAAAGGGGGACGGUUUUGAGGCCUUUGGAUAGAUCUUGAAAUCGUCCAAGGCUUAUCAAUUAGGGCAUUGGAUUGCUUAGGGCCUAAGUUAUCCAAUUAGGGUUUAAGGGUGAAACCCUAGGAGCCUUACAAGUAUAAAUAGACCCUAAGGGUUAUGGAAAUCGGCACUUGUGCUUUAGAAAGAAACCCUGGCCGAUUUUGAUCCCCUCUCCUCUCUCUCAAAUCAUCCUCUUGCUAGUUGGUGUUUGUAAGCCAUUAGAGGAGUGACAAUUGUGACUCUAAAGCUUCAUGGACAAGAAGAUCAAGCAAGUAAUUCAAGGUAAACUUCUAAUUCUGAUUUCAUUUUGUUAUUAUACUCUAUUAGCCAUUAGAAGUGUUGGAUUCAAUGUAUGUUAAAUUAGAGAAACCUAGAUCCAAGCAUUAGGGUUGCAUGUGCACAUAGGAAUGUUCAUAUGGUUAAAACCCAUCAGAUACAUGAUACACCACUAGUCAUCUCAAACUCAAGAUUCUAAAUAACUCCGAAAUCGAAACAUUAUACCUGGGUACCACAGAACACCUUUUCAGAACAUCACGAUGUCCUGGCUCAACCACUGAUCUACUACUCCCAGCACCAUACAGAUACAACAAUACAUUUCCCCUAAACCCCAUAAAUAAUUCUUCAUUUUACCCAAUGCGCAACUUCAGUAUAUCCAAACACUCAAUUGGAAUACAAGGAAAACGCUAACGCCUCAGAACAUUCUGAUGAUCCUCCAAAACCUUUUCCCUUACUGCUCAAAAUCCAAGCAAGAGUACACAUACCGGCCCGGGAGUUGGCUGCUCGAUAAUCUUCUAUCCACCCCAAAGGGUCAUAUACAAUCCAUACUUCGACCCAGUAGUUCUCAACUGCCCAUACCAUUGUUACGAGUCCUCCACUUGAAACGACCCUGACCACUACCAGGUUCCUGACCAUUGGCCACCUUCCGUGGAGACACUCAUCCUUCCUAAGACACACACCACAUGCAUUAUCUUGCUCUGCACCUCUACUUGAUCACCAAUGUCCCUAGUCUCAUGAAUUUGAGCCGCAGGUCUCUGUAUCCAACCCUUAACCGCUCUUGCACAAAUCUUUGGUUCCCUCAAUAAAAUACCCGGUUCUCCCCAACUUAGGGUUCGAACCAUUACCAAUUGACAGAUCAACACUCUACCCCACAGACGGUUUCCUCCAGAAACAUUGCACCUACACUUGGAAGGUGCGACACAACGCCCAAUGAUCUCCCCAUGCAGAGACCAAGAAACCUCAAAUACCCUAAACCUCCGAAGAAAUCCUCAGGAACUUCUCAUCGCGACUGCCUCUAGCCAUUCGAAGUCUCAUACCAUCCCAAUACUGAACAUCCCAACUGUCCAGUACUAUCACUGUCUCUUAGACUGAAACAAUAAAUCAUCAUACUCUUCAUCCUCGACUUCUCAACCCCCGAUCCAACACAUGAAUCAUCACGAGAAUAGGGACUCCACUACCAUACUCAAUACCCAUCACAGACAGAAGAGCCACCGCUCUGAUAUACUCAACUGGAUUACCCGCUGAUACUGCUAUCACAUGCCCUACUAUACUCAAUUUGGGUGUGGUGUGGUCCUUGACUAUCUCAUUCCCCACUGACUACCUGCUCAUGAUAGAUCAUUUCCUUGCGGCAUACAUGCUACCUGAUACUCUGGUGGAAAAUCGUCAUUAAUGUCAGCCCUUAGGGUUUACUCCUAAACCCCAAAACUGAAAUCUCACGCCUCUCCUACUUCCCACAGGAAACAUAAAUAGCACCCAUCAAGUCACAGAAGGUGACAUCUCCUCCAUCGGCUGAUUGCUUACUCAGACCACAACCCCCAUAAAUGCCUGCUCUACUAAUCCCUGAAUCUUGCGACCACAUCUGACAUCUUAUCAAGAUACUCUGAAAUGCUCUUGACCUCCCUCUCAAGGGAUGCCUCUUCGAACUAAAUAAUGGCCCUCAGGCCUAAAACCCCAUCGCGCCCAAACUCCACCAAUCAAUCCUGAUCGGACAAGUAGAGAAUCACAAACAUCAUUUGCUAAGAACCAUGGUACUCAACCCCUGGCAUCUCUUCUCAAUCUUCUACAAUAUAUGGUACUCGAACCAUAACAUCACCCCUUAAUCUGCUAAGAUGCAUGGUACUCGAACCAUGGCGUCACUUCCCAAUCUGCUCCGAUGUAUGGUACUCGAACCAUAACAUCACUCCUCAAUCUGCUCCGAUGUAUGGUACUCGAACAAUAACAUCACUUCUUAAUCUGCUCUGAUGUAUGGUACUCGAACCAUAACAUCACUACUCAAUCUGCUCCGAUGUAUGGUACUCGAACCAUCACAUCACUCCUCAAUCUGCUCCUUAGAACCUUCAGAAUACUCCAUGUAUCGAGUAUGGGUCNGGGGGCCGCCCCCACCCCCCCUGCCACAUCUACCCAUAGUUUCCACACGGACCAUCCCAGAGCUCCUAAGUAGCAGCUCAACCUUCUUGUUCACCAAUCCCGUCAUGCAUGCUCGCUCCUCAGCGAAAUGCUCUACUCUUCCAACGUACUCAUCUGACUAAGGCUUCUCCCUAGGCUCUUCCUUGGUCCUCCCACUUCUCCGCCAUCAGCUGCUGAAGACCUCCUAAUGAUGCCAGCCAUCUACCUACUGAAUAUCAUCAUAUGCACUCGGUAGCUGACUCCCAUCAUCGAGAGUUCAACAAAGCAUGAAGCAAGCAGCAUUCGGGCAUCGAAGAAUACAUAGAACUCACUCUGGGUGAUAACUCCGCUUGCUCUGCUCAUUCUCCAAAGUACUACCAAACUCUGCAACUCUACCCCUCGCGGAUCCUAACUAUUCUUUCGAUAAGCACCACAACACUCAUCUAGGCAUCUCUCCUAGAUUACCCCUCUACUUAAAUCCCCUAAAAGGAUUCCAACUGAAUACUCUCACUUAUCACAUUCUCAAAAGCACAUCACAUAUAACAGCAAUCUCCUAGGCUACGUCAUCACAAUUCAGGCCACUCUAGUCCUAAGAUAUGAAAUACCUAGCCUGUCUCUAGCAUGCUUAAUAUCUCAUAAAAUGUAUCAUAAAUAUCUCAUAAUACAAAAGUAAGGGUAUCUUGGGAAAUCACCGUUCGGGCUCUGGCUGAUUGUACACACUGCUCUUUCUUGCUUUCUCCUUGAACUCUUAUUCACUUUUAGAAAAUCAUUUCUUUGAAAACUUUUCUUACUUCCUCAGUUUGAGUCCAGAUUACCCGAAGGUGCAUCCGAAUCCCUCAAACCAAGGCUUUGAUACCAACUUGUAACACCGAAAAUUUUCAAAUUAAAAUUUCAUUUAAAUUCGCUUUGAUCUUAAAACACUUUUUGUAAAACUUUCAUUUUUGCUUAAAUUACAAAAAAACAUAACUCCAUAAUCAAAUAAAUAGUAAUCCAGGAUCCUCUAAAACACAACUCUUUCUCAAGUGUGUCGAGUGCACUUGGGCGACUCGGCGAGUCUACACGUGUCCACUAUCUCUUUAGCCUCUCAUGACACGUCGAGCCUUCCCCCUGCUCGACGGGUUACACCUGGCAUGAAUCACGGGACCACCCAGCCUCAACUCGUCGAGUUCAAUUAUGGACUCGGCGAGUUCCACCUGUAAUCCUCUACCCCCUUCUGACUCACCGAGUCAUUCCCCUAACUUGACAAGUUACUUACUCAGUGACUUACAGGAAACCCUAGCCCUACUCACCGAGUCUGUUCUUGGGACUCGACGAGUUCAUGCCAUGCUCGAGCUCAAAUGAGCUCCUGAGGUCAAAUCCGUUCCUCUACCUCAUAGAUCUGGCCUCCUAAAGCAAUAAAAAUACGUAAAGUUUGGAUCUUGAUGCGCAUGCAAGGACCCCAUGGCUCUAUUUGAAGAAAUGGUCUCAAUAUGCCAUCCAAAACUCAUAUCUAUCCAAGACAGUCAAUAAAGAUCAAGGAUUUAAGGUCUCUGGACCUCCUUGGAUCCAUUUUCGAAGCCUCAACACAAGAAGGGACCAAAUGCACUAACAAUCAUACUCUAAAUGGGCUAGAAACCCUAACUCUCAAGGAUUAACACCCCAAACUGAAGAAGGUUCAAAUAUGUACCUCAAGAUGAAGUCCUUAAGCUCUGAAAUCCACAUAUUAGCUCCCUCUUUAGCUUCCUCUUGCCUUGGUCACCUUCUUCUUGCAAAAUCACCCACACAAGGAUCAAAAAUGGCUUCCUUUCUCUCUCAAAACACUCAUACACUCUGGGGUCUCUCUCUAUCAACUGGUGGCCGCGAAUGAAGGCCAUAAGGGCCUUUAAAUAGGUCUCAAACCCCAGAAAUUAGGGUUUCAUUAAAUAGCGCGGACUCGCCGAGUCCGAUCAUUAACCCGGAUGAAAAUUCGCGACUCUACUUGUCGAGUCUAAUCAUCAACUCACCGAGUCUCUCUCAAAAUCUCCAAAAAUAAUAAUUAAAUAAUGUACCUGAAAAUCCGGAUGUUACAUCAUAUCUUCUUAGCAUCCACCUCUUACAUGGGUUUCCACUGUAUAUCAGAUGGAUGACAAAACUGCCUUCUUCUAUGGAGAAGCAAAAGAGGAAAUCAACCACCAGGUUUUGUCAACUCAAAAUUUCCAAAUCAUGUGUACAAGCUGGACAAGGCACAUUACGGGCUUCAUCAAGACCCUCGAGCUUUGUACGCCACUUUGACUUAGCAUCUAUUAAGUCAUGGGUACACAAGAGGCAUGAUUGAGCAGACGAUGUUCAUUAAAAGAGUGAAGAAAGACCUCAUUUUUGUUGAAAUCUGCGUGGAUAAUAUCAUUUUUGAGUCAAAAAAUGAUGAACUAUGCAAAGAUUUUGAAAAGGUCAUGAAGAUGAGGUUUGAUAUGAGUUCUCUAGGUGAAAUGACGAUGUUUCUAGGAUUACAAGUGCGUCAGGAUUCUUCGGGCAUUCUACUGCAUCAAGGAAAAUAUGUUGAUGACAUUUUGGAGAAAUUCAAGUUCAAGGAUACUAAAAAUGCUUUUACUCCCAUGGUUGAACGACCAUUGUUGACAUCGGAUCCGGAUGGAGAAUCAGUUGAUCAAACUCUAUAUUGAUCCAUGAUUGGUUCUAUGAUGUAUCCGAUCGCUAGCAGACCAUAUAUACUUUUUGUAGUCUGUCAAUGCGCGUGACAUCAGGCUAAUCCUAAACUUUCUCAUUUAAUUGAUGUCAAAUGAAUUUUUAGGUACCCUAAAGGGAGUCCUAAAUUGGGUCUCUGGUAUCCUAAAAAUCGUGAAUUUGAUCUUUAUGCUUCUGCUGACAGCAACUAUGGAGGUUGUGACAUUGACAGGAAAUCUACAAGUGAUGGGUGUCAAUUCUUGGGAGACUGACCAAUCUUAUGGCAGUGUAAGAAACAACAAAUUGUAUCCACUUCUACAGUUGAGGCUGAAUAUGUUACUGCAUCUGCUUGCUAUUCCCAGGUCAUCUGGAUGCAAUAUCAACUGCUGGAUUAUGGUUUGAAUAUUCUUGACACUCCUAUCUUCUGUGAUAAUGAUGCUGCUAUUCAAAUUGUUAAAAAUCCACUUCAGCAUUCUAAAACCAAGCACAUAGAUAUUAAAGUUCAUUUUAUACGAGAUUGUUUUGAGUGUAAACUUGUUCAUUUGGAACAAAUCCACACUGAUAAUAAUGUGGGAUAUUUGUUUACAAAAUCUUUAGAAAAGCUCAUUUUGAUGUGCUUGUGAGUUUUCUUAAAAUGAUUCGUUUUGAAGACUGACAAAUUUUUUUAUACAUUUUUUAUUUUAUUUUUGUUUUCAUUAAAUUUGUUCAUAUUUUUUUCGCCUGUAUGCACAAAUUUAGGGGGAGCAUUAAAACUAAACAAAAAUAAUAAAAUUCCAAAAAUAUGUUUAUUUAUGUUUUUAUUUUUUUUCAGAAAAAUGAAAAAUCCAAAAAUAUUGUAUUUGAGCGUAUUUUAAUUUUAAUUUUAUUCUUAGUUUUUUUAUUCUUUUUUUUGUGUGUGUGUGUGUGUGCUAAGUUGAUUUUAUUUUUAUUUUUAUUUCUAAAAUUUCUUUGUCUUGAAACGUUGAUGAGCAAGGAGAAGAGACGUGGAAAGAAAUUGGCGGACAUUACACUUCACACUACUUUCACAAGGAAUUGACGGCUUGCAGAUCUAAAUUGUUUAAGUUUCUUGAUCUCGUUGUUUCAAAUUGCUCUGGAUGUCUGAGCUUAAUUUCCUUGGUUAAUCCAAUGCAUCUGAAAGGCACACACUCACUCUCAAUAAGCGAAAGAAGAUGUGAACUUUUAUGUUUAAGUCAGUUAGGUUGUAUCUCUCUAAGAACUGUCGUAUUCAAGGAAUUGAAGGCAUGAAACUAUAAAAACUGUCAGUUAGGCAAUAUCUUUCUAAGAACUGUUGUAUUUAAGGAAUUGAAAUUUUGAAACUGUACAUAUUGUCAAAAUUGGUCUUGUCAGUUAUCUUUACCUAAGAACUGUCAUGGAACCAGGGUGAUUCACCAAACUGGGAAAUAGAUAUCGCUGAACAUCCCGCCCAGGGUCUUGACAUUCUUUUUUUCAUGCAAUACAGUAGAGACUCAAUGUAUUCUCGGAUACAUUCUCCGCAGGUAAGGAAUUAAUGGUUUUUGGCAUUAGGGAUAUGCACCUUGCAAGGCACGAUUAUCGCUGAAAUGUCUCGCCCAAGGGCCUUGACCUCAUGUCAUGCUAAACUAUGGAAAUAUAUCUUUGGAUACAUUUGCCGCAUGAAUGGUUUUGUGAGUUAUUCCUCAUUAACUCUCAUUGGCACUAGAAUGAUACACUCAAUUGAGAUUCAGAAACCAUUGAACGUCUCGCUAAGGGCCAAGUUAACUUGUUAACUUGAAAAACUAUAUUGAGAUCUUUGAUCGAGGAUAUGUAGGGGAUAACAUCAAAAAUAGCCAUAAGUAGUUCUCCGAUACUUAACAAAUCGCAAUGCAUUCCACCGUGUUCACACAAAUACUGCGAGUAGUCUCCAUCUGAGCCAUGGCUGGGUCCUUGAACAACUGUGGUGAGAAGGUUUUUUAUGACUCUAUGAUCCACAUGGACUUUUAGUCAUGGUUACUUUUCAAGACGCAUCUGUGAUCGUUGAAGAACAUUCAUUCGAAGGAAUAAGAAGUGAAAAUUAUUUUUCAACUCACAACCUUUCAACCCCAGAAGCAAGGUGAAGCAAUAUUUGAAGUUAUGUGACGAAUUGCAUUGAAGCCUCCUAAAUCAAUUUGUUGCUAUCUAUGAACUUAGUGAGGUGAUCUAGAAGAAUCGGUCUCUUUGUAAUUAUCUCUGAAGUAUUUCAAAGCUGAAAGUGCUGAUUUUCGAGAACCUAUUCAAGAAGCCUCUAUACCCAAUAUGCGUUCAAAGUCAAAUUUUAAAGGAAGUCCAACUAUUCAAGAUGAAGUCAUUCAUGUAGAAAUUCAUAUGUUCAUCUUGAAUUCGUGAGGAAAUCGAAUAUAAAAGUUGAAAGUCAAGAACUACGAGAAGAUUGAAAAGAAAAGAAAGCUAUAAACCAAGGGGGAGAUUGUUGGGACGUGGUUUGUGGUUUAUACUUUACUUUACAUAGCUUUUAGAGUUCUCGGUUGGGCUUUGGGUUGGGUCGUUGUAAUUAGUUCUGGGUAUAUAUAUUGUAUUGAUUCAACCGUGUUUAAAUUUAGUCAUUCUAAUUGUUGAUUUCGAGAUUUAAGAGAGACAGAGAGAACCGAGAUACAUAUAUACUCUUUAUACUAGACUAUUGAUUAACAUAGUGUGCAUUGAACAUUCAACAUUUUGUCCUUAUUUUCAUAUUUAGGAUUUGUUUCAUUCAAUUGAUUGGGAUUUCGCACCAAUCUAGUGAUUUGGAUUGAUACCUAGAUCGGGUUUAUACACCAACCCUAGUGGUCACAUUCAAUCGAGUCUGACUAAGAUGAGUAUGUUGCAUGGUUCAGAGAACCAAGAUCGAUGUAGCAUCUGACUUAAGCCAGAUGAUUGUAGUGAAAGAUAAUCGAAGCGAUCAAUAGAAGUAUCACGAUCGUUGUUAAAGUAAGAGCUUAUAGAUAGAAGUGCUACACACUAGAGUGUGAUUAUAUCACAUUAGAACAUAAAGGAAGGAAACUUACAUUCUGGAAUUUGACUCUAAAAGACCUGAGUCUAAGCGUUGCAUCAUAAAACAUGAGGUCAUUAGAAGAUGACCCAUCAGUCUAUCAUGAUAAUCGAAGUAAAGAACUUCUCUUAGGUUAAUUAUGUUUAAGAAUAAGUAGGAGUCUCUAAUAAGGAUCGAAUUUGUAACUCGAAGGUUACGAUUGAAAGUACAACAUAGGAUAAAGAGCAGGUGCAAGAUUGAACACCACCUACAGUAAAGAAGUCUAAGAGUCAGAUACUCAUUUGAAGGAACAUAGAAGUCACACUUAUUACCUAGGAUGAAGAGAUAACAUAUGGAGUCAUUAUAGAAGCCCUAUUUUGUUGAUGAUUCCAGGACAUAAUCAUCCUAAGAGGGAGAUAACUAUAACGCCCGCAGAUUGGGGCUAGUCAAUUUAGGGACAAUAAGCGUCAAAAAUGACUUUUUUAUAGAAUCUUAUUUAGAAUAAAUAAUCUUAACUAAGUUAUAGUAGUUGAAAAGUAUUUUUUAACACUUAUAAAACAAUAAUGCUCGUAAAUAGUCACAAUAAAUAUUAGACUAAUAUCUAGUGGUAAUGAUACUAGGUUUCGUCGAAAGAAAAUAUAAUUGUUAGAAGGGAAGCGCUGCCCGAGUUGGGAAUCAUCACUUUAACAACUAAGUGCAUAGUUACUUUGAUCAUACACAUAAAUAUGAAGUAUUUAAUAUAAAUUAUGUACUAUGUGUGCAUAUUAUCAGUGUUCUUGAUAUCUAUGUUGGAUGAACAAAAUAUACAUGUUUUAUUCGAUUUAAACUAUAUCCAUAUUUUAUACCUAUAAUUAUGAUGAUUAAAGAUGGGUAGAUGAAAGAUGAGAUGAAUGAUGAUAAAUGAAAUAUGAUAUAGAUGAUGAGAUGUGAAAGAUGAUGAGAAGUCUUGACCCAAACAAUGGCCCAGACAUCUACCAGGGUAUAUAUGACAACCAUGGACUAUUCUACAUAGUCCAGUUGAACACUAGUAGGCUCACAACCUGUAGGUGUUGUGAAUGAUAUGUUCAUCAGAUGUCCUGUAUAAACCCAUUGACAUGUAUUGUGGGUGGACUCUAUAAAAUAAUACUGUCUACAAAAGAGAUAAACCCUGGCAGCUAUGGAUUUAGUCCCCUAUAGAUGAACAUCUGCAGCUAUGGACUUAGUGCCUGUUAAAUAAACCCUGGCAUCGAUGAACUUGGUGCCUAUUCCUUAGGAGAAUCCUUAGGAAGGAAUGAGUGAUUGAUAGAUGAUUCUUAGGAUAGAUCCUUAAGAAAUAAAGAAGAUAGUUGGUAUGGGUAAUUGGGUUAAUUGUUUGAUGAUGAAACAUAAUAACUUUAUUACUGUGGGUUGAAAACCCUAUGUACUCACUAGGUUUCCCAAACUGACCCACUCAGUUUAUUUGUAUCACAGGUGUCGAUACGAAGCUAUAUUAUACCGAGAGAUUAAAGGAGAUGUAAAUCACUAGUGUAAAUGAAUGUAAGGUCUAUUUAUUCUUAAGUUUCUGUAUUGAUGAUGACAUCCCAAAGUUUUAAUGUAAACAAAAUACAUUUCUUAUGAAAUGCUUUGAUAAUAUUAUUAUCAUGUUUUUCGGGAACAAAUUCUUCAAUAUUAUUCUUCAAAACGAAUAAUCUAAUUUUUAAAUAAGCAUAAAUAAAAUUUUUAAAAUGACUGUGAAUUUGGGAAUGUCAAACAAAGCAUCUGCGACCACGUUUGCUUUACCCAGAUGGUAAAGAAUCUCGCAGUCAUAAUCCUUGACCACAUCAAGCCAUCUGCGUUGCCUCAUGUUCAAGUUUGGCUGGUCCGUAAGAUAUCGCAAACUCUUUUGAUUUGUGUAAAUGGUACAACGGUCCCCAUAUAGAUACUGUCUCCUAAUCUUGAGGGCAAACACCAAUUCCACCAAGUCUAGGUCAUGAGUAGGAUAACAUGCCACAUACGGCUUCAGCUACUGAGAAACAUAUGCACCCACUCGCCCCCUCUGCAUAAGAACCACCCCCAAACCAGUGAUGGAUCCAUCACAAAACAUAAUGAAAUCAUCAACGCCCUCCAGAUGGGUCAAUACUGGGGCCUCACAUAAUCUUUUUCGUAAUGUCUCAAAUGUCGUCUACUGCUCAGGGCCCCAUCGGAAAUCCACACACUUCCUCUUCAGACGUGUGAGGGUACAAAAAUCUUAAAGAAACCCUGGAUAAAUCACCGAUAAUAUCCUACCAAACCCAAGAAACGUUUGAUCUCUAAGGGAGACUUCAGAAGCUCUAACUGCAUCACAACCUCAAUCUUGGCUAGAUCGACCAAAAUCCCGUUUUGGUUAACAAGAUGCCCCAAGAACUAGAACUCUCGUAACCAUAAUUCACACUUUGAGAACUUGUUAUACAACCGUUCUCCCCUCAACACUCCCAAAAGUGCUCGAAGGUGCUCCUCAUGCUGCUCCCCGGUCUUGGAAUACACCAAGAUAUCAUCAAUAAAAACAAUAACUGAACGAUCGAGCAUCGGCAUGCAUACCCAUUUCAUCAAAUCCAUAAACAAUGCAGGCUUAUUGGUGAGCCCAAAUGGCAUCACAACAAACUUGUAAUUCCCAUAAUGAGUCUAAAAUCCAGUCUUCUCUACGCCCUCUUCUCUAACCCUCACCUAAUGAUACCCAGACCUCAGAUCAAUCUUGAAGAACCAAGAUGCUCCUUGCAACUGAUCAAAGAGGUCAUCAAUCUGCAAAAGGGGAUAACGGUUCUUCACCGUCAAUUUUUUUUACUCUCAAUAAUCAACGCACAUCCAGUGUGAAUCAUCAUUCUUCUUGACGAUCAUUAACAGUGCUCCUCACGAUGAACUACUCGGUCUGUUGAAGUACUUUCCUAAAAGCUCCUGAAGCUAAGAGGACAACUCCUACAUAUCAGGAAGUACCAAACAAUAUGACACCUUGGCAAUAGGAGCUACACCUGACAUUAAGGUCAAUCCUGAACUCAACCUGCCUCUCGGGAGGCACACCAGGUAGCACCUUCAGAAACACAUCAGGAAACUCCCCGACAACUGGCACAUCCAAAACCGAUGUCUACUCCACAACCAGAUAUCAACCACAUAGGCAAGAUAACCCAUACAACCAUGCUGAAACUACUACCGAGCCCUACCCACCGAACAAAAACCCUAGCCCAAUCUUGGUACCCUGUUAAUAGAUAACCAGUUCUCCCCCACUUGGGUUUCGAACUACUACUCGCUGACCCUCGAAGUCUAUCAUAGCACCAAACCUGCUCAUCCAAUCCAUCCUCACUAUCACACAUACAUCCCCCAUGGGAAUAUGAAUCAAAUCAAUCAGAUAAGGCACCUCGAAAAUCUAUAGAACACAACCCUGAUACACUCUGGAUGCAAAGCCCAUGUUCGUUGGCGAUAGAAUUCACUAAGGGGAAUAUCAAAAUCACUAUUGAAAGAUUGUAACACAAAGGACCAACUCACGCCCAAGUCGAAUAACACAAGAUCAAGCAAAGAAUUCACUAAGAAUGUACCUAUCAGAAGCAUAAACAUAAGCAUACUAUAACAUAAUCGACAAAAUAAUAAAUGGAAACAUACUAGUAACAAAGUUUGGCGCCGCACUGGCCUCCCCUGCCGUGAGCUGAAAAGCGUGACCCCGCACCCUUGAUGGAUCCGCCCUACCCUUUUUCCCAUCGGUGAUCGUCAAAGUAGUUGGCGUUGGAGCCUGCGUUGGCCCCCCCGUGAGCAAAGGACGGUUAUCCUUAAUAUUCCUAACUUGCUCACAAUGAUAACAAAUCCUAGUGGUCGGUACGGGGACAUGUUGGCGACAAUCCUUGGCAUAAUGCCCAUCCUUGCCACAUUUGUGGCACCCAUAAGUAGAUCGACAAGAACCCUCAUGAACCUUGCCGCACUUACCUCAAGUUCGGUCCCUCUAACUCCCAAAUCUCACAUAAGUGGCCUUAAAUGUAUUCGCUACAAGCUGUGACUGCACCGGAGCUUGCCUCCGCUCCCUCGUCUGGAGCUCAAAGUCAAUCUCCCAUGGCCUAACAGCCUCCUGUAACUCUAUAAGCAUACCAUAGCGCUGAGUAGACACAAACUGGUGGGUUUUCCGUCUUAAGCAUGCUCAAGCACAGAGUCAUCUGGGCUUGCUCAAAAGCAACAAACUCAGGGAAAAACAGUGCUCUCUCAGUUAACAUCUUGGUGAUCUCAAUUACAAACUCUGUCCCCUGUCGUAGGUCCAAAUACUCCUGGGAUAAUCUCUCUCUCUCUCUCUCUUUAUCUUCCUCUCUCUCUCUCUCUCUCUCUCUUUUCUCUCUCUCUCUCUCUCUCUCAACUAAAGGGAUGUAUCUCAAGCAGAACAUCUCAGAGAAAUGCUCCCAUGAUACAACAUCUCUCUUCUCUAAAGUGUAUGAACCAGUAACUAAUCUCCAGCAAUCCUUCUCUCCGGACCGAAGAAAGUUGAGAGCGCACUUGACCUUCUGGUCAUCUAGGCAAGAGAAAGUAAAGAAACAGUCCCAGUAUUAGAAGGCUCUCUCCCCGCCAAUGCCCACAACAUCGAUGUCCGUAGUAGCUGUAGCACUAGCAACCUCAAAAAAUGCAGCGUAUUGUUCAUCAAAGAACUUCAUCAUUGAGGUCUUGAUAGAUCCAAGCAACUUCGGUAUCCGCCCCCGGACAAUAGAGACAACCUCAACAUGAAUCAUCUCCCUAACCUACUCCUCAGUCAGCCAUGGCCUAUCCUGGACACUUGAUUCUGCUCCUGAUCUGGAUCCCCUUGUGAUCCUGCCUAUCUGAUCCUGCUCCUGACCUGGACACUUCAUACCUUAUGAGAUAUUACAAAUAAUGAGACCCUAGGGUUGUGACUUCUCUGUUACGCGUAUAUACUACCUUCCACACCUACCUUUAUUUGUCUCAGAGGAUCAUCACAACAACCCUAAAAGCACACACUAGCAUCCACAUACAUCCUAUUCUCACUUCCUAGAUAAAGGCUAGACAUUCCCCAACUGGCCGACUGAUCCCAUAUAACUCAUCCAUGAAGCUUUCACCAACCCUGUAGCAAUCGUGUAUGCUAAUCUUACAUAACACUAGCUCCUACAGAAAGUCAAAUACCAGAUUGUAUGCUAAGCCCUUCAUUAAACAAGAAUAGAAAAUAAGGCUAAAUGAAACAUUCUGAUGCUAUAGAAUCUUAGUUAUGUACAGCUAUGAUGCAUACACUAAGCAAAUACAGUAAUGAAGUCAAUUUCAAACAAGAAAGAAACCCUAUGCUAGCAAGCAUCAAUUAUCAGACAAUUCUAUCAUGCAAUUCCUGAAGAUCCCUAGCCUAUCACUAGCAUGCUAUUCUAACAUAACAUCAAAUAACAAGGUGGGUAACUUGGGGUAUACUCUCUUGCUCCGGUUGAUCGUACACAUUGCAUUCUUCCUUGGUUACUUUUGAAACAAUUUAGAAAACCAGUUUAAAAACUUUUGUAUUUCCCUAGUUUGAGUCUGGACUCACAUGAUUGUUCAUCCAAUUCUCUCUAACCAAGGCUCUGAUAGCAACUUGUAACACUCCAAAAAUCACAAUAAACCAAAAAAUUUUAAAUCCAACCAAGAAUAAAUACUGUUUAAAAAAAGAUUCAUUGUUUCAAAAGCAUUAUUUCAAAUCAGAGUUUUCCCAAGAUCCGAAGACAUAAAGACAGGAAGUUGUGUACGAUCACACCUUCGCCUUCCCACGAUCCCCGAAAGUACUAAAACCAUAAAAUAAAAUUGUAAGUCAAAGCUUAGUGAGUUCCCCCAAAGUACCAGCACACCAUAACGAACAACCAAGCAAUAUGAACAGCCAGCCUGACUGGACCACCUUGUAGAGCCUACAGCCUAUCUGGAACGCUCUACAAGCUUUCAACAUGACUGGAGUGCCUCGUAGGGCCUACAUCCAAUCCGGACCGCUCCAUAGGACGCUGGCUUGACUGGACCGCCUCGCACGGCCUACAGCCUAUCCGGUCAUCCUCAGGUGUCUUGGCUUACAACAGAAAACAGGACCACCUCAACCCAACAAAACAUGUCGACAUAUGCAACAAACAAACAUAAACAUAAAGCCAACAAAUAUAGAUAAUCAUACGAAUCUACUGAGCAGUUAAAACUAUCAUAUUAAUAUCCUAACCAGGUUAAAUAAUCUAGUGGGUCGGCCUUGGUGCCUUUGAUCCAUGGGUACAGUAAGGAAAACUCAUCUCACAAUCUGAAUGUAGUCUGGAUAACUCCCAGCUCCGACAACCGACUCCACCCGAAUCCUAAAUGUCAAAACAUUUCCCAUUCUAAAUUAAUAAUAGUUUCCUAAAAUAACAUUGGUCAGAACUAGUCAAAAUCAACAAGUCAACCGAGGCAACUCAGGGCUCGUACGCGGGGUGUACUAGCGGUCCGAGACAUCAGGGCCAAAUCUUCGUACGUGCAACAUACCAUUUGGUACGCCUUACAUACGCAAUAGUUUUCCUUCUCAACCUAUUAAGAGCUUAUUACUUCGACUUAAUAUGUCCAAAUGCAGAUCCAAGGCUAAAAUAUCAUGAAGAGUCAUAAAGUUUCCAACUUUAUGACUUUGCAUGCCCAUUAAGUUCUUAAUACACAAAAUCCAAACGUCUUAACACCUUAAGACCUUCUAGAGCAUGCAUAGGGAAAGACUACGCAUCAAGACCACAUUGUUAUUACUCAAGACCCCUCAUUAGGUCUGAAAGGAUGACUUAUUCGAUUAAGAGCAUGCCAUGCUCAAGAAUCACCAUUUCUAGGACCAAAAAUGCCCUAAAUGAAGAAAUGGCCAGAUCUACAAGAUAUGAUGAUAAAACAAGGAGCUUUUUACCUCUAGGAGGUUGCAAGAAAGGAAAGAAUCCCAUAUUUAAGUUGCUUCCAAGCUUCAAGGUCCUUGUACUAACUUCUUCUUCUUCAAGAACACCACCAAAGCACACAAAUGAGUCCAAAAUGCACUCUUCUCACUUAGGGUUUAUUAGAUGUAUGUUUUCUUAGAUGGAGGAUAAUGAGGGAAUGAGAAAUGAAGUGAUAAUGAUGCUUAUAUAUGGACUGAACCCUAAAUAAUAGGGUUUGAGGUUUUUUUACGUAUGCCCUAUGUAUGCGGUGUACACUUAGCGUACUAAUGUCCGCCCUAGUACACUCAACAUACACAACAUGCGCCUAACAUACUAGGCCUUUGGCCAAAAUCACCAAAAUGCCAUUACGGUAAAAUUUCUCAAGCCCAAGGGUGAAAAUGAAAAUUGUUUCAUACAUAGGGUUUUAAAAAUAUCUCAUCGUCAGGAUGUUACAUUAGGUCUCAUAGUUAGGUUAUAGUGUGGGACCAGAUCGGAGUGUAAUCCUCCCCAUCUUAGGAUGACUGGAAAUGGUGGGUCCCGAUCACACAACCGGGUGAUAUGUCUAGGUCAUCGACCAAAGUAGAUGACCAACAGUUGGCUGUUCUAGGCGGUCUUUGUUGGAUUAGGUGUCUAAGCCCAUAACUAUAAUUUGUAUAAACUUGAAUUGAUGGUAGCACAAUCUUUUUAGGUUGCCCUCAAACCUAACAAUUGAAUAGGAUGAUUUUUGGAGAGAGAGGUUGAUUUAUUAUUUGAUUAAUAAAUUAAAAUAAACAAUUUAUUAAUAUAUUAUGCGAAUAAUAUAUUAAUUAGAAAUAAUAGUAGUGAAUUAAUAAUUAAUCAGAAAUUAAUUGGAAUUAAUUUUGGGAUAAAUGGAAUUAAUUAAAAGUACAGGGUCAAAAGUAUAAUUGUCCAAUAGUUGAAAAAAAGGCUCCAGAACCUUCCAACAUGAGGGUUGACCAUUUCAAAAGGAUAAUCUAGGGUUUCCAUAUUAUACUAUAUGGAUAAAUAUGGAGCUGGAUAAUUAACAAUUUGAAAUAUUAUUGUUAUAUUCAGAUUAGGGUUAUCCAGGGCUUCUUUAUACCACUAUAUAAAGGAUCUUAUCCCUUUUAUUACCGGCUACCAUUUAAUCCUAAAGGAUAGCCAAAAUGCUAAUCCUUCCCUCUAUUCUCUCCAUAAUCUCCUCCUUGCUAGCUUGGGUGUGAACCACUAGAGAUACGACAUUUGUGGUGCGUGCUUCCAAAGAUUUUACAACUCAAGGAUAAUUGUUAUUUUCUAUAAUAACAAUAAGGUAUAUAAUCUUAAACCCUUGUGAAUUUUGAAAAUUACCUAGGGUUUCUAGGGUUCUUAUUUUGAUGUUUUAGUUAUAGGUUCAAUAGAGAAAACAUAGAUCUUGUUUUAGGUUGCAUGCACACUUAAGAGUUUUAAGUUUGGUUUGUUAUGCCUAAAACCCAUUAGUGGUAUUAGAGCAUUUGUUUUGUUUCAAAUGAAUUUUCUAUAAUUUUUGAAAUUGAUCUAAUUAGGGUUUAUGGAAAUUAAACACUAAAAGCUUAGAAUUUUGAAAUUAGGGUUAGGGUUUUGAAAUCCUAACCCUCCUCCCCAUGUUUCGAAAUUAGGGUCAGGGUUUUGAAACCCUAACCUUCCUCCUCAAGCAAUUUCGAAAAUUGAUAGGUUGUUAGGGUUUUUCAAUUUUUGGUAAUUAUCAUUUUACUUGCCUAAAAAGUGAUAAUUAAAAUCGGAUAAAUCCUGUACCUUAUAUUUUUAAAAACUUACAAGUUAAGGAUAAGGAUUAUAUUAUUUGAUUAAUAUAAUUAGAUAUUCCUUAUUUGAUUUAAUAUAUUUAAUUAAAUGUUAAUUAAUAGAUAAAUAUUAAAUUAUUUGGUUUAUUUUAAUUUAAAAUUAUUUAUUAAUUUUUGAAAUUUAAUUAUAAACCUAGUAUUUUGAAAAGUUUAAAAUAUACCUUAUACUAUGUGUAAUAUUAAAGGUCUAAUAAUUACUAUAUAUAUAAGACUAAGUUAGUGGAGGGUCAUUAGUUGAACAAGUUUGAUAGGAAAAAUUAAUUCUCAUUAAAACGUAUAAUGAAUUAAAAUAAACUAAACCCUUUUAGAAAGAAUCCCAAUCUUAUUUACUUUAGGAAAAAUGUGAAUUUAUAUGCUAACCCAUGAAAUUGCACAUUACACUUUAUAAUUCGUUAGUGGAGCGUGUGUGGUUAACUAACACACUAAUAUGGACUAAUAAAGAGUUGUAAUGGGUAUCUCAUAAAUUAUCAUUGUUGAUGUAGCGUGUGUAGUUUACCAGCAAUCAAUUGAGAUGAUAAAAGACAAUGAGUUUACCAAGCAUAUUUGCAUGGUUAUUCACAUCUUUUUUGUGAUCCUUGGUAUCCCACUCACAAAUAGUAAAUCAUAAUAUGAGAUUAAACAUGCCAUUGAAUAGUUUCAAUGAAUCUCAAAAGAUAUUGGAAUUUCAUCCAAACUUAAUUUCCUCUUAAAAAUUUAUUUUCUAUUGGUGGAAUUGGUAGAAUUAUAUUACGGCAUCCCUUUUCUAUGUUGUGAGUUAUAUAUUUGGAUCCUAGCCUUAAUAUUUCCUUUUUGGGUUGCUAUAUUACAGAUUAUUCUUAUCUAACUAAAACUACCUUCCUUUUAUAGACAUCUACUCCAAAUUAUGCUUCUAGUUCCUCCUCCUCAAAUCAAAACUUCUCCUUGUUGAACAUUUGCUCAAUGGUGACAUUAGAUGGCACCAAUUACAACAACUGGAUGCGCAACAUCAAAAUGGCCAUUCGUUUCGAGGACAAGGAGUAUGUACUUGAGAAAGAAUUAAAUGAGAUUGACGAAGAGAAGGCCACUCCUUAAGAAUUAGCCGCCUACAUGGGGCACUACUAUGAUACAACAAAAGUUGCUUGCAUCAUGGUCACCACAACGAUCCCUGAGUUGCAAAGAUUCUAUGAGGAUUGCUGGAUGUAUGAGAUGAACAAGGACCUUGUGGAGAAGUAUCACAAGCGAGCUCAUCAAGAAAAAUAUGAUGUGGUAAAGUCCCUCAUGGCGUGCAAAUGGAAAGAGGGAGAAUUUGUUUGUGGCUACGUGUACAAAAUGCAACGUUACAUUGAGCGCCUUGUUAGGAUUAAUAUGCAUUUUGAUGAGGAGUAUACUAUUAACAUGGUCGUGAACUCCUUACCAAGUUAUUAUGAUAAGUUUAUCUUGACCUAUCAUCUAAAUAACAGUGAUACCACCUUGGCUCAAUUGCACAACCUUGUGCAGACAGCUGAAGCAGGUAUGAAGGGAUAGAGAAUUGCCUCCACUCCUACUAGUGCUCCCAUCCUAGCCAUUGGACAAGGAAAGAGUAAAAAAGAGGAAAGGUCCUCCCAAGAAAAACUGGAAGGAAAAUCUCAUGUAGGGUCAUCCAGUACUAGCCCAAAAGGAAAGUCUAGUUCUGAUAACCCACCCUCUUCUAAUCCCAAAGAGGCUAUCUGCUUUUACUACAACGACAAGGGGAAUUGGAAAUGAAGUUGCCCAAAUUAUUUGCAAGAUAUCAAAGAUGGCAAGGUGAAGCCAACUUCUGUAGGUAUAUACAUUAUUUUAUCUACUAACUCGUCAUCUUCUCGUGAUUGGGUCCUUGAUAUAGGAUGUGGAUUUUACAUUUGUUCUGAUUUGCAAUGGCUAAGAAGAAGUGAGGAGGUGGAGCACGGUAGAAUGAACAUGAUCAUGGGGAAUAGGCGAUCUUCACCUGUUACCAAGAUUGGAGUUUAUAAUUUUAGUGUUUAGUGAUGGUGUUAGUUUUGAUUUAAUAAAUUGUUGCUACUCUUCAUAAAUGACAUGAAACAGUAUUUAUUUUCAUGCAUUUUCCAGACAAGGUUUCAAAUAUUCUUUUAGUGAUUUAAAUGGUUCAAUUUCUUCUUAUAAAAAUGUUAUUUUUUUUAUUUUGAAGCUUUACCUUGUGAUGGUGUGUAUGAAACUAUGGUGUGUGUAGACAAUGUAGACAAUAGUGUAUUUCAAAUUGUUUCUUCUAAUGGUAUAGACAAAUCAUGCGUGUGGCAUUGUCGUCUUAGACACGUUAACAAGAAAUGCAUCGCCCAAAUCUAAAAAGAUGGUGUGUUGGAAUUGUUUGACCUAAGAUCGGAUGAUGCAUGCAAAUCUUAUUUUUUGGGUAAAAUGAAAAAAUCACCUUUCACUGCGUCUUGUGAAGGAGGUGAAGUUUUGUUGGAUCUCAUACACACAAAUGUGUGUAGACCCUUCAGAUCAUCCACAAGGGAUGCUAAUCAAUUCUAUGCGACUUUCACUGAUGAUUAUAGCAGAUAUGGUUAUAUCUACUUAAUCAAGCAUAAGUCUGAAACCUCUAAAAAGUUCAAAGAGUUUAAACAUGAAGUCGAGAAUCAAUUGGGAAGGAAGAUAAAGAUACUCCGAUCAGAUAGUGUAACGCCUAGUUUCUGGUACGCAUUUAAUUGUAAUUUGUUCACUUUUGUAGAGAAACUCGACGAGUUGGUAGCCACAAAAUCAUCGAGUAGAAACCAGAUUAAACGCGGGGUUUUAAGUCACCUACUCGACGAGUUGAGAGCCUCAACUUGACGAGUAGGACUUCUAGGAUGAAACCCUAAUUUCAGGGUUUUGCACCCUAUUUAAGCAUCCUAAUCCCCACUUGCUGGCCUCAUUUCCAGCCUCCAAGUCCCAAACCCUAGUUUCAGAAACCCUAAUGCAAUUGUGAGCUUGUGAGCCAUUUUUUAGUGAACUUUGUGUGUUUUUCAAGAUUGUGGAAGAAGAAGAAGCUAUAGGAUUCAAAGAGAAGAUAGUAGAUCCAGAGACUUCCUUUCAUUCUCAUCAUUUUCUGGUAAUCAAGUCUCUAACUUGCUUAGUAGUCCCUUAGAUCUCCUUAUUUUCACAUUAUUGAGCUUUUUUGGUCCAAGAAGCUUGAUCUUUGGGAUAUGGACGUCCUAAGUGAGUAUUCCUUCAGAUCUGGGAUUAUAGAGGGCUUUCAUGGCAUAAAGGUGCAAACUUUAUGGCCAUUGAAGCCCCAUGCAAUCCAUAGGAUGUCAUUUUGGCAUUUUAAGCUCCAAAAGGCCAUGCAUGGAGUGAAAGUUGGGAGCUUUACGUGUCCAUGAGGUGUUUAUGGUCUAGAUCUCUAUUUGUAAGCUUUAGUUUGGAGUAUGGAUAGCUUAUGGAGCAAGAUCUAGGUCCAAAGGAGUUAGGGUUUGAGCUAAACCCAUUAAGGAAAGGUAUCAAUGGGUAAAGAUGGAAACUUUACCGUUAAAAGGACACGCUCAGUGUAUAUGAGAAACAAGAAGUUAAGAGCUGAAGAGUAGGGGCUUAAUCUAUUAAGAUGGCCAAACAGACUAAGGAACUCGGCGAGUCCAGAGAGGGACUCGAUGAGUUGAGUCGAGUUGUCUCAAUUUUUUACAAGGUAGAACUCGACGAGUCUGGGACGGGACUCGACGAGUUGGCUCUUGUUAUCACGACUAUGAGUAGAAAAGGAACUCGGUGAGUUAAGGGUAUGACUCGACGAGUUGAGUCAACUCGGAUUGUUGACUUCGACUUUGACUGAGUGUUGACUUUGACUUGGACAUUGUCUUUGACCAUGGUUAACCCGUGAACGGGUCUUGAAGUAAGUGUUGGGUUUUGAGCAAUCUAACACUUCCUAAGUGUGCAUGCAACCCUAAUAAACCUUGGAUCUAUGUUUGUCUAAAUACAUGCAAAAUAAUAAUUUUCCAAGGUUCAUAACCUAUUUAAGAUGGCAUGGGGUACUUUUAAACAUAAAAGAAUUAGAUGAGAUUACAUACCUUUUGAUGAUGAGUUUGAUUCCUAAGGAGUUUGAGGGCCAAGCACCAAUAGUGUGAAUGCCUCAAAUGGAAUCACAAAUCACCACAAACUCUUGGAAAACUUUGAGAGAGUGUAUACACACUUAUAAAAUCGGUCACACACAAACACACACACUUUCUAGUUACACUAGUCACACUAGUGGCCAUUUCAUGCAACAUAAGCAUGCUUAUAUAGUGUACAUGAUUAGGGUGAAACCCUAAUAACCCAUGACUUUUCCUUUCCCAAGGAUCCAUGGGUUAAAAGCUCCAUGGAUCAUCCAUGGACUUCCAUAUAAGCCUAGCCCAUUAACUAAUGAGUAUUAGCCCACACCAUAUAAAACAAUAGCCCACAAUUUAAUUAGUCUUCCUUUUAAUCUCUAAAUUAAUUCAUAAUUAAUUUAAGACUAACACUAAUUAAAUAACUUCAUAUUAAUAUAUUAUAACUUACAAUAUAUUAAUAAACAUAUGUGUAUAACUCUCAUAAAAUUAUCCAUAAAUAGUUUGGAUGAAAUGCAACCCAAAUGGACCAUGCCGGGUCGGGUCAAGUAUAUACCAAAUAAGUUAUGGACUUAGACACCUUAUCCAACAGACUCCCACUUGGAUAAGUCUAAUAACUAUAUUUGCGUAUGUUACUUCAGGAACCAACCAGCAAUCGUAGCUCUCGAAAACUCUGUUGAACUAUGAAGCGCCAUUUUAGAUAAGUGAUCAUAUAAUCCUCUGUUCUCAUGAUAUCAGCCGGACAAAUACAUGGAACAACGUCGUACUUAUUGUCCAGCAGUUUGUUUCCCGAUUUUCGAUUUGUUUGACAAAGAACUUAAUCGAACACAUCAAUUUAGUUCUGACCGGCCGGUACAUAGGUCACAACAAAAUCAUCGAGGGGCCCAGAUAUCGCUUCUAUUUCUAGAAGGAACAGAUAAACUUCGACUCAUAUGCUUGUUCUACUACUUGUUGAAUUGUACACAAAGGCACGUUUUAUAACAUCAAGUUACUGAUGCGUUUACGUGCAAUCAAUGCACAACCAACUCAUAGGUAACAACUCAUAUCUCUAGGUUUGAAGAUUUAUAUGAUAUUACCGUCUCACGAUCACUCGAGAUAAAUUCCAUGAAGUGAUACAAGUGAGCGUGGGUUUAUUCCAAUACUCAUAACUUAUGAGCACUCAUGAAUGUUGUAGCAACCAUUGCUAUGACUAAACCCAUUUAGCCAUCUACAAACUCGAUUCAUGACAGUCUUGAUUCAUACCUACUUCCAACAUAUGAACGACUGUGGAGUGUUUAAAUAACUUAGUCAUUCGGAAAGAAUAACCUAGCUAUUUUGGAAGUCAAAACAUGCAAAGUGAAACACAAUAAUAAUCGAAUCCAAUAUGGUCUCAGAACCCUUUUGAAUAUAAAUAGAACCACCUUUUAUUUAUCACCAUAUUGAUUACACAUUAUUCAUUGUAUAAUGUUUCAAACAAUCAACUUAAGACUUGAAUAAAAACAACAGUCGUCCCAUGCUCCUAGCAUGUACACUUUGUUUUUCUAAACAAUAGUUAUGCCAUACUCCAAGUAUGCACACUAUGUUUGUCUAUGAUCCUUACAUUGUGAUGUAGAUCAAUUGAACAUGAUUCCAAUGAUACUCAUUUCACAAUCCCAAAUCCUUAUUGUAAAUGUGAGAAUCCCCGAUUCCUAUCAUUUACCAAAAAAACUGUUAGAUUUUAAACUUUUAUGCAAUGUUCCUCUUGUAAUGAUUAUGCACAAAGUCACCAAAACCUUGUCACCAGUCAUUACAGAGUAUUCCAAAGAAGGUCAACUUCUAUGGAACGGAAGUCUCAUAUUCAAAGUACAUUGCUUUGAACAUCCUUCUUGCAUUAAGGUUUUCUAAUCUUACAUAGAUUGAAUAACUUCCACCUAUGGAGACAUUUCCAUAGUCCCAUUUUGACUAUCACUUCCGAACAAGAGUUACUUCUUUUCAGAAUAUGUCAAUAUGGUCCUUUCCGACAACUUACAUCAUACUUCCAACUUUCCCUGAGCAACCAAUCUUUGGCGAACCUCAGAUUGUCCUCGACAAUUGCUUAAUCACUUUAGUCAUAUCCAGUUCUAGACUUUUCCCUUCUCAAUGCCUUAAGCAUUUGGAAAAUUUAGAAAAGAUGAAUAUUAUAGCACAUGCAAUCGAUCCUAUAUCCGAAGCAUAUGGGACACGAUUCAUGAUGUUUGACAUAAAGACAUGAUACUAGACCAGUCUUUUGCUACAAUAUUUUUUAUUUGCCAUGUUUUCAAAAUUUAACUAUGAAGAGGGAUGCCGUAAUCAUAAUCGAAUUUUGAAAACGCAAUAUAUAUAGAAUUUCUUCAAGUUGAACCAUUCCAACAUAAAAUUCAUAUAUAUAUUCUUGACUAAAGAUGAUUAAAAUCUCAAUCUAAGCUUUAGAAUUGAAAUGAAGUAUAAUUUCCUCUCCCUUAAUUAUAGCAAAACAACUUUUCAACCCCUGCAACUUCACGAAUUGAAACUUUGUUUUCUAUAAUUAACAUUGCUAACUUGCAACACUAAACGUAAUAAUCAUGCUCCCACUAACAUGAUGAUUAUCAGCAUAACACUUAUGCUCCCACUAGCUCUGACAUAUUUCCAGAAAUCUGCUGGACUUCUGAAAUUUAGAUUCAUACACCCUUUCUUAGAUAGCUCACAUGUGUGUCUAAACAAUUUUCAGAACUAUGAAAAGGGAUGCCGUAAUCAUAGUCUCAAUUGCUUAGGCAUUUGCCAUUUCUCACAAGUCCAUGUUAGUGUGCCGGUUAACCACACGCGCUCCACUAACGACUUUUGAAAAUGCAAAUAACACAAUUGAUAUCUACGUAAAAUCUACUUAGUGAAAGCGUUUCCUCACCAUCAUUUUCAUGAAUCGGAGAGAAACCUUAUGACACUUAGAUUUUAUAGUGUAUGAGUUCCUAUCCAUGUGAAUUUGUCAAAACCAUAAUCACAAGAUAAGGUUAGUGACAAAUUCAGCCUUACAUGGAUUAAACUUGUUCAAUCUUAGUUUCUUGUCACCUUGGUAGCACAAGGCCCACCAAUGCUUCCAAGUUGAACUCUGAUAACUCACAUGCAAAUUCAACUUAUUUGAAGUAGGUACAGAAAUAAGAAUUAUGUCAACACGAUAGGUUGCAAACCUUAAGUCGUGUGCUAGUGAUAAAUUACAGGUUUUACUCUUGAUUAAAUCUUGAAACUCUUUCAGGAUCUUUAAGGCUCCCACUGUCCCCUUGACAUAUAAGUUUCCCCAGUCAAGAACCAUUCCUUGACAAAACAAAUAUUCAAGGGAUAGUGCGGAUUCUUAUCAAGACUAACACUUCACACAAUUGGUCUUAGUUGGUCUUUGUCUCAUCCAAGACAUCACAACUUACCAAUCUCAAAUGUACAAGAGUAGAAAACAUUUUACUCUUACAUUUGACUAGUGUUA